rnacentral:rRNA from 1 species
GACGAACGCUGGCGGCGUGCUUAACACAUGCAAGUCGAGCGGUAAGGCCCUUUCGGGGGUACACGAGCGGCGAACGGGUGAGUAACACGUGGGUGACCUGCCCUCAGCUCUGGGAUAAGCCUGGGAAACUGGGUCUAAUACCGGAUAUGACUCCAUGACGCAUGGUUGUGGGGUGGAAAGCCUUGUGCGGCUGAGGAUGGGCCCGCGGCCUAUCAGCUUGUUGGUGGGGGAUGGCCUACCAAGGCGACGACGGGUAGCCGGCCUGAGAGGGCGACCGGCCACACUGGGACUGAGACACGGCCCAGACUCCUACGGGAGGCAGCAGGUGGGGAAUCUUGCGCAAUGGGCGAAAGCCUGACGCAGCGACGCCGCGUGAGGGAUGGCGGCCU